GCAAAAUAAUUGUUUUUUUCCCCUAAUUUGGCCUUCCGCGCGCACAUUUUCUUCUUCCUAAUUUCUCUAAUCUCAUAUACACUUUGGCACGCCUCUUCCUCAUGGUUCACCGCAAAGCUGUUGUUUGACACCGUUCUUUGUCGUUCACUACACUGGCCUGAGUUCUCAUCGUCCGACUGAGUCGCGUCCUUCGCCUGAGUCGCGUCCAUCGUCUGACUCUUCAUUCAUUGUCCGCCAUUGUUGCAUGAGCUUCGUCCGUCACAGUUAAGUUCUCUCCUUCUGCAAUUCCUAAUUCUCUCGUCCUCUUAGCCUCAUCUAAAUUCUCUUUUCCAUCGUCCUAUACUCUUUCCAAAACCCUAGAAAUUGGGAAACCUCAUUCCAUGCAAAUUUAGUGGUUAUAAUAUCAUGUAAAUCGUUAUGGUUAAAUUGAUUGAUUUUUGUGUUAUAUUGAGCAUGUUGUGAUGUAUGGUCUUGGUUGGAAUGCAUAUAUGUUUUAGAGUUCUUGUUUUUCUUUCUAUGUUAGGUAUGUUAGGUACUGGGAACGUAAGCUCGUGUUGAAUCGCGAUUUCUAUAAUCCUGAUUCAAGAGAAAGACAUCAGGAAGUCCAGUUUUGAAAAACAUUGAUUUCAGAGCAGAGCCAACAGAGAGAGAAUUAGAAGCGUGAAACAGAAAUAUAAGUUCAAGAAGUUUGAUAUUUUGGUACAAAAUUUAGAAGCAUACACGAUUAAAGACCGGAGAUUCACGUCUUGAGGUUCGUGAGCGUGUGUAAUAUAUCAGAGAUAAGCUUUUAGAGCUUCACGAGCUUCUUUUCUUUCUGGGGGAAAAUUGACCAGACUUCUAAGCGCCACAUGUCUAGGGAGAAGACAGAUAUAAUUUUGAAAGUAGUUGUAAAGCAUUUCUUAAUUGAGAAAGAGGUCACUUCUACUUUGGUAAUGGACUCCUUGCAUAGUGGAUUGAAGGCUCUUGAAGGCCAGACUAAAAACCAAAAAGCUAAAGUGAAAUGGCUGGAUGCUGAAGAAAUACCAGCACCAAUUGUUCAUGUUGAGAAAGACAUGUUUGUACUGGUGGAUUAUGUUUUACUGCUACUUGAAAGGGCUGCAAUAGAACCAUUGCCUCCUAAAGAUGAAAAGUGCCCUCAAAACCGAACAAAGGUAAGAUGUAGAAUUAUGUUUGUAAUAGUGACCGUGGAAUUUUGUGUUGAUGCCUGAUCUGAUAACUGGUGACAUGGUUGAGCACUGAUCUCUAUGAAAUGUGAUGGUAUUGGGCUGAGGUUUUUAGAAGAUGUAGUUGACAAAUAAGAGCAUAACAGAAUAUGUUUGAAUGGGGUCUAGACUAGGGAGAAAAGAAAAUUGAAACUCUGCUAUUAUAUUCUGAAUAGCAUUAUAUUUAGGAUUGAUUUUCGCUCAAGUACUACUACUACAUCAGCUGGUCAUCUGAACUAUUAAC